UGCAAAAGUUUGUAUGGCAAAUGAAGUUUUUCUUUGUAAGUGGCAGAUAUCAAUGAUGCAGCCCUAAUAAAACACCAAAGACAAGACAACACCCACUCAAAAAAUUCCAAAACAUGCACAACAACUGAUCCAAAACAUUGAAAAAAAUACCUUCAUUUUUGUCAGGUGAUGAUGAACCUAAAGUACAGAACAAGAACUCAGUAUGUGGCUUGUCUUUUUUUAAAUUAGCUUUGUCUUUAUCCACUGGUCAAUCGUCUAAUACAGUAAUACAAAAGCAACACACUUAUCCUAACAUAGUGACAAAUAUAGGAGGGCUGAUAAGCAAUACAUACGCUGUGAUUGAGACACCAUUUUUGUUCGACUUCUUCCUCUAGAAUCUGCCUUGGCAUUUCCCAUGCCAGCAAGUGGUGCUGAAAGUUUUGCUCUCACCCGGCCUGAGAAAUAAAAUAUUUACAUAAUUAAAAACAUUUUUCUAUAAUAAUGUUUAAUAAUGAGAGGAGAAAAUCUCACUAUUUUUAGGUACUGCCAAAUUCUGUAAUAAUGUAAUCAUCAAUUACGGGUUCUAUUUCUCUUAAAAAUUUUAUAAACAGUAAUUUUUUUUUUACGUGUUAUACCAUAAGCUAAUUUUCCUUCAAGGAUAAGAAGAAUCAAACUAAAAGAUUUACAUUCUUAGUUUAUAUAUUAGUCCAGCAGUUACAAUUAAGAUAAUCACCAUAAGCAUGUCACUUGUUUCUCAAUUGGUAGUUGCAAUUCUGAAAUUUCAGUUUCCAUGAAGUUCAGAUUAUUCUCAAGUCAACCCUACAGUUUUAAAUAUAAGCCUAAGCUUGGAAACAAUUCAAACCAUCCUUUUGACUGAAAAUGUACUUCUAAAGGGAUCUGAAGGAAGAGAUAUAAUUAGGCAAAAGAUUUAAUCUCUUUAUAUCAGAUUACUACAUAUGGUAUAUGGACAUGUUUACUGCUCUCUUCCUCCAAUCAACUAUUUCAUUUAGAAAGUGAUUUGAGGAAAUACAUAUCACAUAAGAGUUAGCAUUUUUCUCAAUAUAUUUCUUUUCAUACCUCCCGAACUGCACUCCUUUCUAUUCUACCACUCUGCCUCAUUCCCCUCCACAAAACUAGGCCACAAACAUCCUCACCCUAUUUCUAGGGCUCUUGAACUACAAGCAGCAUGUCUGUCAAGUGCUUAAGUUAGCUGCAGUUAAUAAAAAUAAGUGAGGACAGAAUAUAUUAUUGGUGGGUACUUUGGUGUUCUUAAGCAAUAGUCUCAACUGCUAUCAAAUCAGAACCAAUAAGGUUUGUCAUUCAAAAAGAAGGGCUCAGAAUUAUUUUUAGAUAAAAGAUACAAUUUGUAGGGUAUACAUGAAAUACUGGCUAGCCCAAUAUGACCAUAUUAAUUAGGAAAAAACAUACUAAAUAAUAAGAAUAAAAACUCAAAGAAUAAGGAGAUAUUACAAAAUUAAGAAAUGAGUGAGAAAAGAUAAGAGAGUAAUAAGAACUAGGAAUAAAACAGAAUCAAAACCAGAAGUUUAAUUGGUAGAAUACCAGCAUACUAUCAACUUCAAGGCCCCUAAUGAGCCCAUGGUUCAGGCCUCUCACCCUUUUACAGUCUAUUUUGAGCAGGACACAAAGUUCUCUUGACUAAAAAGUAAAACAAAAUGACCAAAUUAUUAUUUUUGAAAUGGAGAAUUUAUCUACAUUGUAUAUAACAAAGAAAUGAGAGUAUGUUAAGUAUUUUGAUAUUAACAUUUGAAAUUACAAUUCCACAGUGCGAGAAAUCAUGUUUUUAUUUUUAUUUAUUUCUUGACACACAAUCUUGUUCUGUUGCCCAGGCUGGAGUGCGGUGGCAUGAUCAUGGCUCACUGUAGCCUCAAUCUCCCAGGCUCAAGUGGUCCUCCCACCUCAGCCUCCAGAAUAGGUGGGACUAUAGGACGGUGCCACCACACCCAGCUAAAUUUAAAAUUUUUUGUAGAGAUGGGUUCUCACUAUGUCGUCCAAGCUGGUCUCAAACUUCUGGAUUCAACCAAUCCUCCUAGCUCAGCCUUUCAAAGUGCUGGGAUUUCAGGUGUGAACCCCUAUGCCUGGACAGAAAUCAUGUUUUUAUACAGUAUUCCAAUUUAAAACUUAAAAUACAAAAUUAUUUUAAAUAUAUCAGAGUAAAUAUGAGACCAAAUAAAAAAGUUAAUCUAUUUGGUUUUGUGUCACAAAAAAUAGUCAUCCACGUAAAACUUAGAGGAAAAAAAUUUAUAUUUUGAAUCGGAGGUUUUAAAAAGACAGACUUCAGGUAGAGUGAAUAUAAACAUUGAAUUACUUUCCUUUCUACAAAUUGAAAACUAUAAAAAUUAUUUUUAAGGUGAACUAGCUCAGUAAGAUAUGUAUAGCAAUUCUGGUGUAAUCUCAAAUUCAAUUUGAAUCUGUGACCAACUCCCCAGUUACUGAUUCAAAAGUAGAAGACAUAUUUAAAAGCAGACUAAGUAAAUGCAUUUAAAACUUCAAUGAUAAAACAAUGGUGCAUGAUCUCUCAAAGUAUAAAUGAAUUGGCAUAAAUAAAAAAACAAAAACACAAACAUGUAAGAAAAGCAUUAAUGUCACUACUAUAAAAAAUGAAUUAUAUGCUUACUUCAUACUAGAUAUUAUUAAACAUGUUAAGCAAUUAUGUUUUUCCAGCAUGAGAUGAUCCAAAGUACAAAGCAAACCAGCAGGAUGAAGAAUUAAAAAAAAAAAAUCCACACAUUACUAAGACAACCAAAUAUGAAAUGUAGAACUUACUACAACUGGCAAAUUAUAAAGAGUUGCAAAGAAAUUAGCCUAUUUUAGUUCUAAUAUUUAAUUCCUACCAAUGAAAAUAGUAAUGUAGAUGUAUUUGUGUUACUAACAAAAUGUAUAGUUCUUACCAUCUUCAGAUGCUGUUCCUAAAUAAGAAAAAUAAAACAACAUUUCAACAAAUUCUGCCAAUGUUGAUAUUAAGACCUACCUCACAGUCCCCACCCAACACUACAAUGAAAGGGUAAAAACAAAAAAUUAACUUUUAGUCUGACAGCCUUAAAUUAACUGCGGGAAGGUUCAUUUUGAGAAAAACAAAAUUUGAGGUAAUCCAAUGAUUCACAGCACACGGAAACUAGACAAAUAAAAAUAACAAAAUUCUAUAGGAAACACUUUUUGUCUGCUAUAUUGCAUUCUUAAAAUUUGAAAUGGUAUAAAAAAUUAGAGAAACUCAUCACUCAAAAAAAUGUAACUCUGUAAUUACUCUUUGAAAAUGAAAUUUUAUAGACCUUUCCAGAGUAGAAAUGUUUUCUCUGCAUUUUCAAAAGGUAGCCCAUGAAGGAAUCAGAAAAAGCUAACUGACAAACAUAGGAAUAAAAUCUAUGACCUAGGCCUCACUUGCCCAUUUUUAUCAAAGCAUCUACAAAGCAAAAACCUAUCAAUCCAAUUCAUUAGCUAUUUAUUCAACAUUUAUGUGCAUUCCUUAAGAUGUCAAUGAAAUCUAUAAAAAAUGACUAAGUACAAACAUCAUAACUCACUACUACUAAAGCGCAAUAAUAUACGUCUGUGUAUUUUUUUUAAACAUAGGAUUGAACAUCAGUAAGAGUAACACAUCAUAUAACAGUAGUGACUUCUCAAAUAGAUUGAGAUUUCCUACCCAAACAGGAAAAUAUUUUGAACUGGAAAGUGAUAAAAGUUCGUUUUUAAAGGAUCCAGAAUAUCAAUAUUAGGAUGUCUAAGGGGUUUGAUACAUAGAAACCAUCUCUUGAUGGGCUAUCAUUUCAUUCAAUAUUUUAUUAUAAUCAUAUAGAAAAGCAGACACUAAUAUAACUAGCAGUCAUGUACCUAACCCAAGGUUUAAUAAAUGUUCUAUCUCAUUAAAACAGAAGAUAUAUUAGAUCAAUUUUCCAUUUACAUAAUAAUUUACAGAAAAAUAUAUAGUGUCUGUUUUUCCUAGAUCUCAUAAUGUGACAUACAGAUUUAGUUUAGUAUCUUAAGUUAUUUAAAAAAGGUCAAGCUCAUAGGUAACAUUAUGGUAUCUGCUGAAGUGAAGGGAAAGUGUGGAUAAUAUACUAUCUAGUAUCAGACAAAAAAUAUCAUACAGGGUUGUUACUGAACCAAGCCACUACAGAUAAACUGUAAUCAAUUGAAUAUUGAAAUUAAAAGGGCAAAGUUUAAAGUUCAAUUUUGACUAAAUGUUAGUUUACAACGCACUCUUAAAAAGUCGGCCUCUGUAACUUGCAUUUCAUUUUCAAAAACAAUCAUAUGAACUUACGAAAUAUGUCAUUUGUCAUAUCACUUAAUAGACUAAAGAGGUGAAUGAAAUGACUUAGGAGAUUUCUUUCCAUUCUUCUGAAUCCAAUAUUUUUUAUUAAGACUUAACGAAUCGAGAAUAUUCAGAGGCGAACUUCUAAGAGCUCAGGCAAACAUUUUAUAAGUUAAAACAAAAUAGUUACCUAGUAUUUGAGCAGACUGGGAUAUGGUAUGCCCAAUAGAUAUCCCUAACCCCAAAUUCAUUCAGAGAAUUAUGUAGCCAUUUUCACAUUAACAUUAUCACUAAAUAAGUAUUAAUAAUAUAUUUUUAGAAAUUAAGAGAAGAAUGAACAAGGAUAUUAUAUAGAAUCCAGGUUCCAUAAAAAUCUUUAGUAGAAUUAGGAAAGGAAGUUCUUACCAUCCAGCUUGUCAGAAGUAUCCUCUUUGAUGAAAGCACAAGCAAAGAACAGAGGAAAACUUAGUAUAUUAGAAGAAAUGAUUUUUAUAAUUCCUAGAAAACAUUUUCUUUAAGAAGACAGAAUUCAUAGUACAGACGUAUAUAUCAAGCUUGUUUUCAACUAAAACAGACUAGGAAAUUAAACCAGAUGUGAGAUAAAGACUUCACCUAAUGUACUAAGUAGAGAAUUUUUUAAAAGUUGAUAAUGAGUCUAUUUCACUAGCCUAAAAAGAGAAAAGUUAGUGAGGCCCAUGUCCCAGCUUUGGACUUUGCCAUCAUGCCAAUCCCCUGCUCUAGUCUGUGAGUUUUUCCCAGACAGUCACAUUGCCUUGUUUCUUUUCUCUCUUGCCUAUAAUAUACCCCCAAAUUCCACACUUAGGCCCUCUCAUCAUUAGCCUCUGUUUACCACCUCGUUGCUUCCCCACCCACAUCCUUUCUUAGAACUUUCAGCCCCUUUAAAAUUUCACAUCUGGAUGAAUCUAACUCACUUUCUCUAUUCUAUUACUUGAGAUGUCCCAUAGAGAAAAUUACACAACCAUGAAGUCAUGCAUACUGGCACUACUAGAAACUGGAAUAAAUAUCUGACUUGGUGUUUAGUGCCUGUGCUAAAAGGAUUUAACAUAGCAGGACUGAUAUUGUUCUUAAGAAGUGUAUGCUUGUGGGGCUGGCCUCUGGUAAUCGUUUUGGAUCCUCCCUGUAUUAAUGAUAAGGUUAUUUUAAGUGUGUGUGCAGAAGUUGUGGGGACACUGAACUCUGCUACAGUUUGCCUAAGCUGUUUCUGCAAACAGUGUGGUUUAUGGUGAAAACCUCCUUUCUUUUUGGGAGUCUGGGAUUCUGGUAAUUGUGGCUGGUUGUGCAAGCAGAGUGCCUUAUGUGCCUAAUUGUGGCUGGCUGUGCAAGCAGAGUGCCAAUCCCCUACUGGCCCCCCAGCGUGAGUCUUAAGCUAGCUUCCUUGGGCAGAAACACUGUGAACAUGUUGCAUUGCUGUAUUUCUUUUCUUUUCUUUCUUUUUUUUUUUUUUUUAACAGAGUCUCGCCCUGUCACCCAGGCUGGAGUGCAAUGGCACAAUCUCAUCUCACUGCAGCCUCCACCUCCCAGGUUCAAGUGAUUCUUGUGCCUCAGCCUCCCGAGUAGCUGGGACUAGAGGCAUGUGCCACCACGCCUGGCUAAUUUUUGUAUUUUUAGUAGAGACGAGGUUUCACCAUGUUGGCCAGGCUGAUCUCAAACUCCCAACCUCAAGUGAUCUGCCCACCCAGGCCUCCCAAAGUGCUAGGAUUACACGUGUGAGCCACUGUGCCCAGCCCACAUUGCUCUAUUUCAUUGCUUGAGGAAGGAGUAGCCCCUCAACCCUAGCUCUGGGAGACAAACUUUGAAAGCCUGCGUCUAGACUCCUUCAGACUAUCUCACAGGUCUUUUUUUUUUUUUCACUCUAAUAAAUCCUUUUGCUCUAACAAAUGUCAGCCAUGAGUGCCCCACCUCUUGUGUCUACUCUCCCCAAAUGGCUAUUCUAAACUUCAAGUCACCUGUUAGCACAUGAUCCUGACUCUGAAUCUUCAGGCAGAAAGUCACAACAACCUCCCCAAUCACACUCUUCUUAAUGUCCAACUUUCCAAAAUAUCGUAUCUGAUAUCUACUACCUCUUCCAAUUCCUUCCCUUCCAUCACUUCCUCCCCUUCUACAUCUGUGAAAUGGCUCACCCUUCCACAUUCAAGACUAACUCCCAGGCUAUGCUCCAUAUCCCAUUCCUCACACCUUCCACAGCAACUUAGCUAUUAAUUAUCUCCUUUCAUCCUUACACUUCUAACUUUUCCAUCUCUACUGACUUGCCACCUUAGGAUACAAACAUAAUUAACUUCUCCAAUCUUAUAAGAUGAUAAGUUCUUUCAACCACAGAUAAUUCCUACCAUUCUUUCACCCCUUUUCUUGACCGUCAGGCGUAACAAUAAUUUACACAGAUUCUCUUUCCAACUUCUAUAUCAACCAACUAAAAUCUGACUUCUGUCCAUAUGACCUCAUUGAAACUAUAUUUUCUUUUCCACUCAAGCAAUUCCAUAAACUCAAUUGUUAGAAUAAAUAUUCAUAAAUAUGUACUCAAACAUCAAGGUUACCUUAACUUAAAUUCCUGUUUCCUACCACCAAGUUUCCUCUUCAGGCUGAAGUUAAAGAGUGAACUUCAAAACACUUAAAAUAUCCCUGCUGCCAAAAAAUUCAGUACUUUAGAGAUAACAAAAACCAGUAGCAACUGCUUUAAGAAGGAAUGCUCUGAGUUUAAUAUUGAUUACAGUAAGUAAAAUCAUCUAAUGACUUCCAAAUCGAAUCUAAUCAUCAUCACUCUGCUAAGUAGUUGUUGUUGUCUUAUUUAUUUAUUUAUUUAUUUAUUUAUUUUGGAGAACGUGGAAAGGUCUCGCUCUGUCACCCAGGCUGAAGUGCAGUGGUGUGAUCACGGCUCACUGCAGCCUCUACUUCCUGGGCUCCAGCAAUCCUCUCACCUCAGCCUCCCUAGUAGAUGGGCCCACAGGCAUGUGCUACCACACCUGGUUAAAUUUUUAUUUUGGUAGAGGUGUGGUUUCGCCAUGUUGCCCAGGCUGGUCUCAAAUUCCUGAGCUCAAGCAAUUCACCCGCCUCAACCUCCCAAAGUGCUGGGUUUACAGGUGUUGAGUCACUGUGCCGGCCUCUCUGCCAAGUUCUAUACUACUAUAUACCAAGUGUCCACUGAAAACUUCCAGUUUGAAGUCUCACAGGGACUUCAAACUCAAAAUGCAUAAAACGCAACAAACUUUUAGCUGCUCAUCCUUCAGCAACCUACCAAUAGACUGAGAGAGAUUCAGUAUAGAAGCAUAUACCUCUGGAUCCCUGGUACCUAGCAAAAACUAAGUGCUCAAGUGUGUGCUGAAAACUAACAGAACACUCCCUCUAAUUCAUACAUGUAUAGCCAUAAGUGAGGCUCAAAGUAGAAGAAAACAGAGGUUAUAUCAGUCUUACGUGUGUAAGAAGGGUACAUGAGACACAGCGGGUAGGGUGGGGUGAAGGGAGAAAGGGAAGGAGGGUAAGAAGGAGAACAUCCUUUAUCCAACCCCUGAAAAAGCCGCAGGCAGGUAGCUGAUUGUCCCUGAGUGGGAACCUGGGUCAGAUGAAGAAAAGAAAAAAGUAGUGGCACUCUCCUUUUUACAAUGAAACAUGAAAUUCAAACCUUAAAGAACAACAAUAGGUUCUCACAAAAAAAAAUUGUCCCAAAUUGGCUUUCUAGUGCACAUUAAAGCACUUUAAAUACAGUAUUUUUCUUCGGUAAAAAUAAUAGAUAUUCAAUGUAAUGUGUUUUGCUCAUAUAUAUAUUUUUUUUGUGUGUGUGUGUGUGUGGAUUCCUUAGGAUUUUCUAAACACAAGAUUGUGUUUUCUGCAAAGAGAGACAGUUUGUUCUUCCAUUCCAAUUUGGAUACCUUCUAUUUAUUUUCUUGCUUAAUUGCCCUGUCUAGCACCUCCAAUUUAACAUUACUUCAAGGUAAUGUUAAAUAGGGCCAAGAGUGGACAUUCUCGUCUUGUUACUGAUCUUAGGGAAAAAUAUCCAGUUUUUUAAUCGUCAGGUAGGAUGUUAGCUGUGGAUUUUUCAGAUUCUCUUUAUCAGGUUGAGAAAGAUGACUUCUGUUCCUAGUUUGUUGAGUAUGUUUAUUAUGAAAGGGUGUUAAUUUUGUCAAAUGCUUUUUCUGCAGCUACUGAGAUGAUCAUGUGGUUUUGGUCCUUUCUUCUAUUAAUAUGGUACAUUUGUUGACUGGUCUUCACAUACUGAAAUAACCUUGCAUUCUUGGCAAUGUAAUGCUUUGAAACAAAAAGUUUUCUGAAAAUUAAAAGCAGUAAUCAACACACUGUUAACACCUUUGUAUAUAUCACACCAGUCCUUCUUCUAUGUAUAAUUUUACACAAAAUGAUGAAAUUACUACAUACUAUUUGGUAGUCUGCAUAAUUCAACCUUUGUUGAAAAUAUGACUUGCUAAUGGCUGCACAACAUAUAUAAGGAUACAAUAUAACUCAACCAUCCCCUCUGUUACACAUUAAGGUUGAUGCUAAUAACGUUAUUAAAAACAUAAUUAUGUAAACAUUGAAUUACUGGGGCAAACAUUCUGAUUUAAAAAUGCUUCAUGGAAUUCCUAAAUUGGAACUCAGAAAAAGUGUCCCAUCACUAAUUCACAUCAGUGUUGCUUGAUAAGGCUUUUUUUUUUUUUUUUUUUUUUUGAGGCGGAGUCUUGCUCCGUCCCUCAGGCUGGAGUGCAGUGGCAAGAUCUCGGCUCACUGCAACCUCCGCCUCCCGGGUUCACGCCAUUCUCCUGCCUCAGCCUCCCGAGUAGCUGGGACUACAGGCGCUCGCCACCACGCCCGGCUAGUUUUUUUUGUAUUUUUAGUAGAGACGGUGUUUCACCGUGUUAGCCAGGAUGGUCUCGAUCUCCUGACUUCGUGAUCCACCUGUCUCGGCCUCCCAAAGUGCUGGGAUUACAGGUGUGAGCCACCGUGCCCGGCGAUAAGGCCCUUUUUACCACAUUCUUGAAAACAGUGGGCACUACCCUUAACUUUUGUGUUAUAGUUACAGGUCUAUCAAUUUGUAUUUGUUUGAUUAUAGCUAAGGUUCAACAUUUAUUCUGGUAUUUGUUGGCCAUUUUGACAUAUGCUUUUCUUGAUAUAUGUAGAAUUUUUUCUAUAAAAAUAAGCUCAUCUGUUUUUAACAGACUUGAAAAACCUCAACAUUUUAACUUUUUUACUACUAUGUGGCAAAAUAUUUUUCCCUUUUAGUUUUUGCUUAAGAUUUCAUAUUUUCAUACUUUAGAUUUAAAUUCAAGAGAUUUUUUUCCUUCAUGGCUUAUUUGCUUUUAUGUAUAGGAAUUCCUGUCUCAACCUGAGAUUUGAUGAAUACUCACCUAUUAUGUUUUCAUCAAGUUGCUUUAUGUUUUUAAUGUUUUUAUCAUCUGGAAUAUAUUUCUAUAUGGUGUGUAACAUGGUUCUAACUUAAUUUUAUACCAGAUUGUAAACCAUGUGUCUAAACACAAUUUACUGAAUGAUCUAUUCCUCUUCACGGUUCUGAAUGCAGCUGUGCCAACUUUAUCAUGCACUAUACUCAUACCUAAAUUCUCUGCACUUCUAACAGGUUGAGUACUCCUUAUUUAAAAUGUUUGGGGCCAAAAAUGUUUUAGAUUUCAGAUUUUGAAAUAUGUGCAUUCAUACUUAAAUGACUGAGCAUCCCUAGGCAUUGCUAAUUCAAAAAUCCAAAAUCCGAAAUACCUUUUUUUUUUUUUUUUUUGACGGAGUCUCACUCUGUCGCCCAGGCUGCAGUGCAAUGGCACGAUUUUGGCUCACUGCAACCUCUGCCUCCUGGGUUCAAGUGAUUCUCCUGCCUCAGCUUCCCAAGUAGCUGGGAUUACAGGCAUGAGCCACCAUGCCCGGCUAAGUUUUGCAUUUUUAGUAGAGAUAGGGUUUUGCCACUUUGGCCAGGCUGGUCACGAACUCCUGACCUCAGGUGAUCUGCCCGCCUCAGUCCAAAAUACCUUUGAGUGUCAUGUUGGUGCUCAAAAAGUUUCAGAUUUUGGAGCAUUUCAGAUUUCAGAUUUUUAGAUUAGGUAUGCUCAACCUGUAUUGUGUUCUGGCGAUCUGCCUGCUUAGUGUUCCAGCAGUACUACCCAAAAGAAAAAAAUGGAAGCAUGAAGAAGAGAUACGCAAACCAACGUCAACUUUUUAAUUUGAUAGACAUAAAAA
rnacentral:lncRNA from 1 species